AUUAGAAUGAGAAGAAAUGUUGUCCAGGGCGGUUGGCUGAACUAGCAGCUACAAAGAGCAAGAAACUCAAGAAUAAUGUUUGUUUGAAAACAACUAACGCACUGCUGCUCACCGUCAUGACUCAGUCCUCAUGUUGCAGCGAGGCGAGACUGGAUGGAGCUAUCUGUCGGUCGGGAAAUGGGAACACAAGUGGAAGGAUGCUGUGCUGUGGAGUUUCUCGAUCAUCUCUGUCCCCUUCCCUCAAGCAGGACUGUCAGCUCACUGACCUGGAAGCCAGCUCUUCAUUGCUCAAGCCUGAAGAUGUGAGAGUUCAAGGACGUGGUUAGGAAGGGUGUUUGAGCCACUGUGAACGUGAUGAGCAAAACGUAUCCUGCCAGGAAAAGUUUUCCCUUCAUACUGGGUGGGAGACGUCAACCUGUGAGCUGGCAGACUCCUGCCCAGAAAACCCUGCUAGCCCCGCAGCAGCAGCCACAGGUCCCAACCUAAGUUCAGCCCGGACCUCCACCUGCUGCACACAUUGCCUGUCCUUGAUCCUUGAGCUGCAGCAGUCCGACCUGAAUUGACCUGACGCUGGGAAACACAUUUCCAGCUAUCAUACUGUCCAUCAUUGUGACCCAAAUCCUGCCUCCAUUAUGUGUUAUCCCAGAUUCUAUCUGGGGACCUGAACACCAGCAUGCAGGUUUUCACACAGAACAGCUUGUCAGAAGUGACAGUCGGCAACAUCAACAGUGCUGCAGCUGCAUGUCAGUCACAGCAUGAACAUCGAUGGCCACUGUGUACCUUGGAAAGACCUCAUGCAGCUCCACAGCUGUACUGUGGGCUAAUUACUGGGAUGAUCACCGCUGAGUUGCAUGAUGCAGGGAACACACAGAUCGAAAGAUCCUCCUCCCCUGCAGCGACCUCUGAAGGUUUCCUUGAAGGCUCACUGAAGUCAGCGAUCACGCCACGUCCAACCAGCGCUGCACGGAGGGAGUGUAUAAUAUACUGCUGUUGCAGAAACAUGGUUGCUCAACGUGACAAUCUCCGUGGACGAGGACCUGCUCCAUAUGGAGUUAUAAACAGCUCAUUCUAAGAUGUGUGUGUCCUGCAGGUUACGCCACAUUUUCUUCCCUGCUGCUUGGUCAAGGAACUCUCUAAAGGCUCUUGACGGAUGCAGAAAGACACGGUGGUACAGGGUGAGUUGGGCAUAUGCCAUGUGUCUCCACUGAGGCGGACGGCGCCUGUGGGGUCCUGACACGUCUGCCGGAUGUCAUACGACAGGUUGUCGGCCAGGCA